CCACAAAGAUUUUUACAAAAGGAUGCAAAGAUGAAAGUUGGAGCUAAUCCUUAAAGAAAAUUUUAGUUCGAAUAAGAAUCUGGAACUCGAUUCUUUGAAGAUGGAAUUGCUAGUAAUCGUCUAUCAGCAUGAGACGGUGAAACAGUCAUCUGUGAUGUACUAACUACUCGUCAAGCGCAAAAAUUUUUAGGGAAUACUAAGUUUUACGUCUAUUUCUUAGAGAUUUGUGCUAAG
rnacentral:rRNA from 1 species